rnacentral:lncRNA from 1 species
AGAUAAAGUCGCAACCAUAAAGCAUACUUAGAACUCUUAUCCCUGGAUGGAACCAAAAGCUAUGAUAAAAAUUGUUAUAAAAUAUCAACAUGGAGAAAUUAAAAUAACACAUACACAAACACAAGGACAUAACAUGGAAACUCCAAAUUCAGAGAGAAAAAUAUAAUAGUCGCUGUCAAAUGGCAACCAAAGAAAAGACUGUAAAAAUUGUUACAACGCAUAAUUUACCCUCAACCACCCCCAGACCCCG